GAUGAACGCUAGCGGCAGGCUUAACACAUGCAAGUCGAGGGGUAUAGUUCUUCGGAAUUAGAGACCGGCGCACGGGUGCGUAACGCGUAUGCAAUCUACCUUUCACAGAGGGAUAGCCCCAGAGAAAUUUGGAUUAAUACCUCAUAGUAUAGCAGUUUCGCAUGAAACCACUAUUAAAGUCACAACGGUGAAAGAUGAGCAUGCGUCCCAUUAGCUAGUUGGUAAGGUAACGGCUUACCAAGGCAACGAUGGGUAGGGGUCCUGAGAGGGAGAUCCCCCACACUGGUACUGAGACACGGACCAGACUCCUACGGGAGGCAGCAGUGAGGAAUAUUGGGACAAUGGGCGGCAAGCCUGAUCCAGCCAUGCCGCGUGCAGGAANAAGCAUCUAUGGUGUGUAAACUGCUUUUUGUACGGGAAGAAACACUCCUACGUGUAGGAGCUUGACGGUACCGUAANAAUAAGGAUCGGCUAACUCCGUGCCAGCAGCC
rnacentral:rRNA from 1 species